CUCGCUCUGUUGUUCAGGGUUAUUAAUGAAACAAAAAGUAAAAGUAAAUUCUCAGAAUCCCAUCGUAAAAGUUGUUGUCCUCAGUGUUUCCCUUACCUUAUUAGUAACAUUAAAUAAUUCAAUCUUUCAGUGCAUUGUGCAUAAGCACGAUAACUCUAUGAAUUUAAAUAAAAGGGACACAUUAUGUCUAACAAAACAACUGGUUCUGUAAAAUGGUUUAACGAAACUAAAGGUUUCGGUUUUCUUACUCAAGACAACGGCGGCGCUGACGUGUUCGUACACUUCAAUGCAAUCGCUUCUGACGGUUUCAAAACUCUAAUUGAAGGCCAAAAAGUGUCUUUCAAUGUAGAAAACGGCCAAAAAGGCCUACAAGCGGCUCAAGUAACCGUAUUGUAAUUCUGUCCAAUAUACAGAAUAUAGAAAAGGUCGCCUAGGCGACCUUUUUGCU
rnacentral:sRNA from 1 species